AUUGAACGCUGGCGGAAUGCUUUACACAUGCAAGUCGAACGGCAGCACGGGGGCAACCCUGGUGGCGAGUGGCGAACGGGUGAGUAAUACAUCGGAACGUGCCCAGUCGUGGGGGAUAACUACGCGAAAGCGUAGCUAAUACCGCAUACGAUCUACGGAUGAAAGCGGGGGAUCGCAAGACCUCGCGCGAUUGGAGCGGCCGAUGGCAGAUUAGGUAGUUGGUGGGGAAAGGCUCACCAAGCCGACGAUCUGUAGCUGGUCUGAGAGGACGACCAGCCACACUGGGACUGAGACACGGCCCAGACUCCUACGGGAGGCAGCAGUGGGGAA
rnacentral:rRNA from 1 species